AUGUUCAAUAGUUUUUGAACUGAAUAAAUUUAGGAAUUAAAUAUCGGUGAUGCUAUGAAUUUCAAAUUUUGAUGCAUAUAUAUUUAUUUUUGAGGCUUAUCAAUGAAAUCACACCAUUUAUCAAUGAUGAACAAUAUUUUCUUUUGAUGAUGAGAAGAUUGAUCUUGAACUCUUGUGUGUGUCACCUGAUGACUCAUAAAAUGCACAGUUUUUAGUUCAUGGUUUUUCAAUUCUCUUGUUGGCUUAAAGUUAAUUGCAAUUUUUUUCUUGACAAAACUCUUGUAGCAAAUAUUUGUUCAUUAUCUUCCAAUGACAUCGAAAAAGUGUUUCAAAACCCUCCAAAUCAUAUUCCUCCUUUGGAACGCCAUAGGUAGAGUGGUAAAAGACUUUUUCCACAUCAAAAAAUAAGAAGAGAGCUACUAACUCUGCUUCCACUUAGCCUAUGGUACCCGUGCCCAGAAUUUUUCAGAUUCUUGUGCUUGGGCUAUAAUCCUGAGCAAAUUAGGCUGGCUGCAGUCCAUGAAUCAUGUUGUAUGUUAGCUCUAAAGGAAGAGCACAGAUGUCGUGGUCAGCAAUGAAUGUAAAACACAUGAGAUGCGUUUUGGUUUUGUUUAUAUGAUGAGUAAGUGUUUUCUUAUAUGGGACAUUGUUGCAGGCGAGUUUAUGCACAUGUGAGUGUGCUUGUCCUACAGCUAAGCUACAUGUAUAUAUUGUCGUAAAUGGAAAAUUUUCCUGGACACAUGGCUCUCACAACCAAGUUGAACUGUAAGUCCUCGCAGGGGCAGGGAGGAGCUCUGCCAAACGAGAAGUUGAAGCGGAGCGAUCCUGCAGCCCAAUGCUAGUUCGCGAAUGGAGACUCCUGGUGCUUCGUGAAGAACGAGAUGUCCCAAUUGGAAGUACCACAGCACGGAUCAUGGAACAGGUCUUUGUUUCUCAAGUCUGGCUCCAUCUUUCGCAAUUGAGAUUGGACGCUAGGGAUGGGGAGAUUCAGGGAUUGAUACAUCUGCUUGUUGUAUCAGACUUGAGACCAUCUCAAUCAAACAUAAUAGAGAAAAGAGAGAAGCAGAUCGAGGAGUGAGAGUGAGACCUCAGGAUCUGUUUGAUCUAAGUGAAGUAGAGGGAAAGGAAGAG